CCCACUGCUAUCGGGAUGGGACUAAGACAUGCUAGUCGAGCGUCUCCAAGCUAUGGAAGAGACGCGGCACACAGCUCAGUAACACGUGGCUAACCUGCCCUUGGGACAAGGACAACUCCGGGAAACUGGGGCUAAUCCCUGAUAAGUGAGAACUCCUGGAAUGGAUUCUCGCUCAAAGGACGUUUAGACCAUGCUUCUAGGCGUCGCCCAAGGAGGGGGCCGCGACCGAUCAGGUUGUUGGUGAGGUAACGGCUCACCAAGCCUUUAACCGGUACGGGCCGUGAGAGCGGAAGCCCGGAGAUGGGCACUGAGACAAGGGCCCAGGCCCUACGGGGCGCAGCAGUCGCGAAAACUCCGCAAUACACGAAAGUGUGACGGGGCCAUCCCGAGUGCCAUCCGCUGAGGAUGGCUUUUCUCCAGUGUAUAAAGCUGGGGGAAUAAGGAGAGGGCAAGCCUGGUGUCAGCCGCCGCGGUAAUACCAGCUCUCCGAGUGGUGGGGAUGUUUAUUGGGCCUAAAGCAUUCGUAGCCUGCUUGGCAAGUCCUCCGUUAAAUCCAACGAUUCAAUCGUUGGGCUGCGGGGGAUACUGUCCAGCUAGGGGGCGGGAGAGGCCGACGGUAUCCUCGGGGUAGGGGUGAAAUCCUAUGAUCCCGGGAGGACCACCAGUGGCGAAGGCUGUCGGCUAGAACGCGCUCGACGGUGAGGGAUGAAAGCUGGGGGAGCGAACCGGAUUAGAUACCCGGGUAGUCCCAGCUGUAAACGAUGCAGGCUAGGUGUUGGCGCGGCUACGUGCCGCUCCAGUGCCGCAGGGAAGCCGUUAAGCCUGCCGCCUGGGAAGUACGGCCGCAAGGCUGAAACUUAAAGGAAUUGGCGGGGGAGCACCACAAGGUGUGAAGCUUGCGGUUUAAUUGGAUUCAACGCCGGG
rnacentral:rRNA from 1 species